CUUGGCAAUGGGGAUUCUUGCCGCUUCUGGACCGACCCGUGGCUUGAGGGCAACUCUAUCUCGACCCUUGCUCCCGCCCUGGUGGCCCUUGUCCCGGCCAGGAGGUGACGUACCCGUAUGGUGGCCACGACGCUUAUUGACCGUGCAUGGAUCUCUGACAUUCAGGGAUCGCUUGGCCCUGCGGCCACCCUUGAGUACGUCGACAUUUGGCGCAAGCUUCAGCAAGUGGCCCUCUCAUCCCAGCCUGAUAUCCUUCGCCAGAAAUGGACCAAGAAUGGUGUGUACUCGGCAUCCUCCUGCUAUGCCGCCCUAUUCACCGGAUCCACGACACCCGAGCACUGGCGGCUGGUUUGGAAGUCUGGUGCGCCCCUUUCGGUGAAGUUCUUCAUAUACCUGGCCUCCUUGAACCGCUGCUGGACCGCCGAUCGGCUUGCUCGGCGUGGUCUACAGCAUGAGCCGGCAUGCGUCCUUUUCCUCCAGGAGCUAUAG
rnacentral:rRNA from 1 species